rnacentral:tRNA from 1 species
GUGGGUGUAGCUCAGUGGUAGAGCACCGGAUUGUGGCUCCGGGUGUCGUGGGUUCAAAACCCAUCAUCCACCAACCA